UACAGAGGGUGCGAGCGUUAAUCGGAAUUACUGGGCGUAAAGCGUGCGUAGACGGUUAUUUAAGUCGGGUGUGAAAGCCCCGGGCUCAACCUGGGAAUUGCAUUCGAGACUGAAUAGCUAGGGUACGGUAGAGGGAAGCGGAAUUUCCGGUGUAGCGGUGAAAUGCGUAGAUAUCGGGAGGAACACCAGUGGCGAAGGCGGCGACCUGGGCCAAUACUGACGCUGAGGUGCGAAAGCGUGGGGAGCAAACAGG
rnacentral:rRNA from 1 species